rnacentral:rRNA from 1 species
UACGUAGGGUGCGAGCGUUAAUCGGAAUUACUGGGCGUAAAGCGUGCGCAGGCGGCGCGUUAAGACAGGUGUGAAAGCCCCGAGCUUAACUUGGGAAUUGCGCUUGUGACUGGCGUGCUGGAGUGUGGCAGAGGGAGGUGGAAUUCCACGUGUAGCAGUGAAAAUGCGUAGAGAUGUGGAGGAACACCGAUGGCGAAGGCAGCCUCCUGGGCCAGCACUGACGCUCAUGCACGAAAGCGUGGGGGAGCAAACAGG